rnacentral:rRNA from 1 species
CCAGACUCCUACGGGAGGCAGCAGUGGGGAAUAUUGCACAAUGGGGGAAACCCUGAUGCAGCAACGCCGCGUGAGUGAAGAAGUCAUUCGUGAUGUAAAGCUCUAUCAGCAGGGAAGAAAAUGACGGUACCUGAGUAAGAAGCCCCGGCUAACUACGUGCCAGCAGCCGCGGUAAUACGUAGGUGGCGAGCGUUGUCCGGAUUUACUGGGCGUAAAGGGAGCGUAGGCGGACUUUUAAGUGAGAUGUGAAAUACUCGGGCUCAACUUGAGUGCUGCAUUUCAAACUGGAAGUCUAGAGUGCAGGAGAGGAGAAUGGAAUUCCUAGUGUAGCGGUGAAAUGCGUAGAGAUUAGGAAGAACACCAGUGGCGAAGGCGACUUUCUGGACUGUACCUGACGCUGAGGCGCGAAAGCGUGGGUAGCGAACGGGAUUAGAUACCCGCGUACA